UACGAAGGGUGCAAGCGUUACUCGGAAUUACUGGGCGUAAAGCGUGCGUAGGUGGUGAGUUAAGUCUGUCGUGAAAGCCCCGGGCUCAACCUGGGAAUGGCGAUGGAUACUGGCUCGCUAGAGUGCGGUAGGGGGAGAGUGGAAUUCCCCGGUGUAGCAGUGAAAUGCGUAGAGAUCGGGAGGAACAUCAGUUGCGAAGGCGGCUCUCUGGACCAGCACUGACACUGAGGCACGAAAGCGUGGGGAGCAAACAGG
rnacentral:rRNA from 1 species